ACUCCUCUAUCGCUGAAUUCUUUAAAAAAGAAGCGGGGGAACCAAAUUUUCAGGGGUGAAUCGAAUUCAGUAGUUAGUAGUGAGUGGCCGGUAGCCAGAUAAAAAGUAAUUCGCUGAGGUUGAGGCGAAUUCCAAUAAGCAAUCUGACUGCUGAAAGCCGGUAAACGACUACUGAAAUCGUAGGGUUACUCUUUCGACCCGAAUCCGUCAGCUAACUUCGUAAGCGUUGAAAGGGGAGGAUGG
rnacentral:sRNA from 2 species